UACAGAGGCCUCGAGCGUUAGGCGGAAUCACUGGGCUUAAAGCGUGUGUAGGCGGCCUUCUAAGUACCUUGUGAAAUCCCACGGCUUACCCGUGGAACGGCUGGGUAUACUGGUUGUCUUGAGCCUUCUAGGGGCUGCCGGAACAAAUGGUGGAGCGGUGAAAUGCGUAGAUAUCAUUUGGAACGCCAACGGCGAAAGCAGGCAGCUGGGGAUGCACCGACGCUGAGACACGAAAGCCAGGGGAGCGAACGGG
rnacentral:rRNA from 1 species